rnacentral:rRNA from 1 species
UACGGGGGGGGCAAGCGUUGUUCGGAAUUACUGGGCGUAAAGGGCUCGUAGGUGGCCAACUAAGUCAGACGUGAAAUCCCUCAGCUUAACUGGGGAACUGCGUCUGAUACUGGAUGGCUUGAGUUUGGGAGAGGGAUGCGGAAUUCCAGGUGUAGCGGUGAAAUUCGUAGAUAUCUGGAGGAAUACCGGUGGCGAAGGCGGCAUCCUGGACCAUUACUGACGCUGAGGCGCGAAAGCUAGGGGAGCAAACGGG